GCUGUAAUAAUAAAGGAAACAAUGAAUAGCAAUUUGUUAGUCAAUCUCUUGAUUUAUGAUAAUGACUUCUCUUCUUGCAGAAUGCAUUCUCUGUAGUAAGUUUCAAUCAACAUAACUAUAAGAUGGCAGUUCUGCCUGAUUAUACUGCAUAGGAAGAGAGAGUUGUCUUCUUGUGAUAUUCGUAAUUUUUUUUAAUGAGUGCUUGUUACCUAGACUAGUAACUUGGUAUUGUCCCACUGUUGUGCUUAUUGUUUUGUUUUUCUUCUUUAUUGUAUUAUCUUUGUUCUAUUGUGCUUACUAUUGUGUGGACUGAAACAAGGCUUCUUCUUCUUUUUCUUUUUCUUUAAAGUUUGCUCUUAUAAUUGCUUGACGUGGCUAGAGUUUAGAAAGACACCAAACUAGUUUACCUUUUGGCUAUUCAAACAUUGUUCUUAUCUGAACUUGUAAAGGGAGGGUGCUGGAGCUUUUAGGAGUGGGUAGAGAACUUGCUUUGGACAGGAAAUUAGGUCGGAGAAGAGAAUAAACGAUAAGAAUUGAGUUUGGUUUGGGUAUUGACGAAACUAUGGGGAGAUCAAUAUUUUUGGUUUCUCAACGGAUUUUGAAGGACCUAUUUUGUGGUUAGAGGACCUAUUUUGUACCAGGUGAAAGUCUUACCAAAAGAAGCUACCAACUAGAUUGCAAGCAUGCUGAUAUCACUGGAGGAAAAAUUUAGAAAGUAAAGUUCCAGAUAUUGCAAAAUCUGGAUUUACAUCGGCAUGGUUGCCGCCAUCAACUCAUUCCUUUGCCCCGGAAGGUUACCUCCUUCAGAACAUAUAUUCCCUCAAUUCUAAAUAUGGAUCUGAGCGCCAAUUAAGAGGUUUACUAAAAAAAAUUGGGUUACCUCCCUCAGAACAUAUAUUCCAUCGAAUUGGGUUUAUUUAUUUACAGCUUACUCUGUUUUGUGUUUCCGAAUAUUCAAUUAGUUAUGCAACUAAAUAUGUGAAGGAGUAUAUUGAAGGAGCAAAACCAAUUUUUUCCGCUGGGGAGUAUUGAGAUUCUUGCAACUACAAUGGUCAUGGUUUGGACUACAACCAAGGAAGCUGUCAAGGGACAAUUAUGGAGCUUACGUGAUCCCCAGGGGAAGCCACCAGGUGUAAUGCAGUAGUACAACUAGCUAGUUCCUAUAUUUAACUUGUGUCUAGUAGAAAUUCUUCCUUCCUUAAGUAUUUGGACUUGUCUGCAGAUUCAGAUUAGUAGAUAUGGGCCAUUUUGAACUAAUGCUCAUGAUUAGGUUUGUGUACAUGAGACAAUGGUGGAUUGGUGAAAAUUGCAAUGAAUGA